rnacentral:rRNA from 1 species
GACGAACGCUGGCGGCGUGCUUAACACAUGCAAGUCGAACGGAAAGACCCUGCUUUUGUGGGGUGCUCGAGUGGCGAACGGGUGAGUAACACGUGAGUAACCUGCCCUUGACUUUGGGAUAACUUCAGGAAACUGGGGCUAAUACCGGAUAGGAGCUCCUGCUGCAUGGUGGGGGUUGGAAAGUUUCGGCGGUUGGGGAUGGACUCGCGGCUUAUCAGCUUGUUGGUGGGGUAGUGGCUUACCAAGGCUUUGACGGGUAGCCGGCCUGAGAGGGUGACCGGCCACAUUGGGACUGAGAUACGGCCCAGACUCCUACGGGAGGCAGCAGUGGGGAAUAUUGCACAAUGGGCGGAAGCCUGAUGCAGCAACGCCGCGUGCGGGAUGACGGCCUUCGGGUUGUAAACCGCUUUCGCCUGUGACGAAGCGUGAGUGACGGUAAUGGGUAAAGAAGCGCCGGCUAACUACGUG